GAUGAACGCUGGCGGCGUGCUUAACACAUGCAAGUCGAACGGAAAGGCCCAAGCUUGCUUGGGUACUCGAGUGGCGAACGGGUGAGUAACACGUGGGUGAUCUGCCCUGCACUUCGGGAUAAGCCUGGGAAACUGGGUCUAAUACCGGAUAGGACGAUGGUUUGGAUGCCAUUGUGGAAAGUUUUUUCGGUGUGGGAUGAGCUCGCGGCCUAUCAGCUUGUUGGUGGGGCAAUGGCCUACCAAGGCGUCGACGGGUAGCCGGCCUGAGAGGGUGUACGGCCACAUUGGGACUGAGAUACGGCCCAGACUCCUACGGGAGGCAGCAGUGGGGAAUAUUGCACAAUGGGCGCAAGCCUGAUGCAGCGACGCCGCGUGGGGGAUGACGGCCUUCGGGUUGUAAACUCCUUUCGCUAGGGACGAAGCGUUUUUGUGACGGUACCUGGAGAAGAAGCACCGGCUAACUACGUG
rnacentral:rRNA from 1 species